AUGGUCGACGAAAAGCCCAAGGAAGGAGUCAAGACUGAGAACAAUGAUCAUAUUAAUUUGAAGGUGGCGGGGCAGGAUGGUUCUGUGGUGCAGUUUAAGAUUAAGAGGCAUACACCACUUAGUAAACUAAUGAAAGCCUAUUGUGAACGACAGGGAUUGUCAAUGAGGCAGAUCAGAUUCCGAUUUGACGGGCAACCAAUCAAUGAAACAGACACACCUGCACAGUUGGAAAUGGAGGAUGAAGAUACAAUUGAUGUGUUCCAACAGCAGACGGGAGGUGUCUACUGAAAAGGGAACCUGCUUCUUUACUCCAGAACUCUGUUCUUUAAAGACCAAGAUUACAUUCUCAAUUAGAAAACUGCAAUUUGGUUCCACCACAUCCUGACUACUACCGUAUAGUUUUCUCUAUUCUUUCAUUUCCCCCUUCCCCAUUCCUUUAUUGUACAUAAAGUAACUGGUAUAUGUGCACAA